AGGAAAUGAUCAUUUUCAGCACAGCUUGUAUUAUCACUUUCGUCUCUUGCUGAUAAAAGUCUAAUCAGAUAAUUAUUGUGGUUAAAAGGAAGAUGGCAAAAGUUUUGAUGACUUCAAAUUCAAAGAGAGAUUUGUGGAACAUUCUAAGUAUUGCCCUCAUCACUGCAGGAGCCUGGGCCCAGACAGUUACCCAGAAACCUGAUGAGGUUGUGUAUAAACUGGCUCAGAAUGCCUCAAUGGACUGCCAGUUCAUCCACACUCCAGACCAGCAGGUGGCAAAGAAUCCCAUUCUCUACUGGCAUAAAAUUACAAAUUUGACCCAAAUGACAAGACUGUGGCCUGACCCAGAGUCACCGUACAAGGAUCGUGUGGAGGUUCUGGACAGCGACCGCAACUCACCGAACAGAUCUGUACUUCUGAAGAAUGUCCAGUGGGAGGAUAGCAGUGGAAAGUAUGAGUGUAAACUGUCUUAUAGGGCCGCCAAACAAGAUAAGAGGACGAAAGGGAGCGGCGUUAAGCUGUUGAUACAUGAUUCGAUGUUCUUUGGGCUUGACCCUGAGAAUGAGACCCAACUCAUGUGUGCUGUGAAUGUUUCCCGGGAUGAUGGGUUUUUCUUAUCCUUGCUACAAGACGGAUCUAAAGUAUUCCAAAAGACCAUUGAUCCUCUUCACCCCAGCAUGUCACUGUAUGUUACCCUGUCUGUGAUCCUCCCCUUGGAGAAGGGAAAUAAUUAUGAGUGUCAAAUCCACCUGGGCUCCACCAUGAUAAUGAGCCAGCCCUUCAAACAGCCGCUUGAGACGCCAGCAGUAGAGAAGGUGCUUCCUGAACCAGUUUUCCUGUUCGUGGCCAUCCUCCUGGUCCCCAUCACCGUGCUUCUGACUCUGCUCACAGCCCUUCUUGUUCUAAGCAGAUAA
rnacentral:lncRNA from 13 species